GACGAACGCUGGCGGCGUGCCUAAUACAUGCAAGUCGAGCGAACGGACGAGAAGCUUGCUUCUCUGACGUUAGCGGCGGACGGGUGAGUAACACGUGGAUAACCUACCUAUAAGACUGGGAUAACUUCGGGAAACCGUAGCUAAUACCGGAUAAUAUUUUGAACCGCAUGGUUCAAAAGUGAAAGACGGUCUUGCUGUCACUUAUAGAUGGAUCCGCGCUGCAUUAGCUAGUUGGUAAGGUAACGGCUUACCAAGGCAACGAUGCAUAGCCGACCUGAGAGGGUGAUCGGCCACACUGGAACUGAGACACGGUCCAGACUCCUACGGGAGGCAGCAGUAGGGAAUCUUCCGCAAUGGGCGAAAGCCUGACGGAGCAACGCCGCGUGAGUGAUGAAGGUCUUCGGAUCGUAAAACUCUGUUAUUAGGGAAGAACAUAUGUGUAAGUAACUGUGCACAUCUUGACGGUACCUAAUCAGAAAGCCACGGCUAACUACGUGCCAGCAGCCGCGGUAAUACGUAGGUGGCAAGCGUUAUCCGGAAUUAUUGGGCGUAAAGCGCGCGUAGGCGGUUUUUUAAGUCUGAUGUGAAAGCCCACGGCUCAACCGUGGAGGGUCAUUGGAAACUGGAAAACUUGAGUGCAGAAGAGGAAAGUGGAAUUCCAUGUGUAGCGGUGAAAUGCGCAGAGAUAUGGAGGAACACCAGUGGCGAAGGCGACUUUCUGGUCUGUAACUGACGCUGAUGUGCGAAAGCGUGGGGAUCAAACAGGAUUAGAUACCCUGGUAGUCCACGCCGUAAACGAUGAGUGCUAAGUGUUAGGGGGUUUCCGCCCCUUAGUGCUGCAGCUAACGCAUUAAGCACUCCGCCUGGGGAGUACGACCGCAAGGUUGAAACUCAAAGGAAUUGACGGGGACCCGCACAAGCGGUGGAGCAUGUGGUUUAAUUCGAAGCAACGCGAAGAACCUUACCAAAUCUUGACAUCCUUUGACAACUCUAGAGAUAGAGCCUUCCCCUUCGGGGGACAAAGUGACAGGUGGUGCAUGGUUGUCGUCAGCUCGUGUCGUGAGAUGUUGGGUUAAGUCCCGCAACGAGCGCAACCCUUAAGCUUAGUUGCCAUCAUUAAGUUGGGCACUCUAAGUUGACUGCCGGUGACAAACCGGAGGAAGGUGGGGAUGACGUCAAAUCAUCAUGCCCCUUAUGAUUUGGGCUACACACGUGCUACAAUGGACAAUACAAAGGGCAGCGAAACCGCGAGGUCAAGCAAAUCCCAUAAAGUUGUUCUCAGUUCGGAUUGUAGUCUGCAACUCGACUACAUGAAGCUGGAAUCGCUAGUAAUCGUAGAUCAGCAUGCUACGGUGAAUACGUUCCCGGGUCU
rnacentral:rRNA from 1 species